rnacentral:piRNA from 1 species
UACAUUAUUAUUUUUGCAACGUUUCGGU